rnacentral:rRNA from 1 species
UACGAAGGGGGCUAGCGUUGCUCGGAAUCACUGGGCGUAAAGCGCACGUAGGCGGAUUGUUAAGUCAGGGGUGAAAUCCUGGAGCUCAACUCCAGAACUGCCUUUGAUACUGGCGAUCUUGAGUCCGGGAGAGGUGAGUGGAACUGCGAGUGUAGAGGUGAAAUUCGUAGAUAUUCGCAAGAACACCAGUGGCGAAGGCGGCGAUCUGGGUAGAUACUGACGCUGAGGUGCGAAAGCGUGGGGAGCAAACAGG